AACUGGCUUGUGGCACCCAACCGUUCAUAGCGAUGGUGCUUUUCGAUCCUUCGAUGUCGGCUCUUCCCAUCAUACUAAAGCAGAAUUUAAUAAGCGUUGGAUUGCUCAGGCAUUGGCCACCACCUUACAUCCUGUAUCUAGAGGGCUUCCUAUGCUUUGAACACCAAGAAAGCA
rnacentral:ncRNA from 1 species